rnacentral:rRNA from 1 species
CUCGUACCUUUUGCAUCAUGGUCUAGCUAGUCUAAUCAAGCAAAACGAAUUUAAGUUUGACCCCCCGAAACUAAGUGAGCUACUUCAAAACAGCCCCUGGGGCCAACCCGUCUCUGUUGCAAAAGAGUGGGAAGAUUUUCAAGUAGAGGUGAUAAACCUACCGAACUUAGAGAUAGCUGGUUACUUAAGAAAUGAAUUUUAGUUCAACCCUAAGUCUUUAUUUUAAACAAAAACCUCCACUAGGCUUAGGAUUAAUUCAAAUAAGGCACAGCUUAUUUGAAACAGGAUACAACCUAAAAUAAAGGGUAACACGACGGAUUAGUUUAACAAGUAGGCCUAAAAGCAGCCAUCUUCAAAAAAGCGUCAAAGCUUAUUAUUCAUGAUCUUCUAAAUACCAAGUUUAACUUGCAACCCUUCACCCCUAUUAAGUAACUCCAUAUUCUUAUGGAAGCUAUUAUGCUAGAACUAGUAACAAGAAAAUGAUUUUCUCCAAAAUGUAAGUUUAUGCCAUAACAGACCCCCUACUGGCAAUCAACGUAAAUGAGCCCUAUUUAGUAACACCCUCAAGAAAAUCCUAAAACUCCUAACGUUAACCUUACACCAGAACAUUUUUGGAAAGAUAAAUAGGGGAGGAAGG